UUUUGAACUAAAUCAAACGGUAGCUUUCUAUUUUUUAUUUUUGCCUUGAAAAAACAAAAGCUAAUUUAGAGAAACUCAAGCAGACUUGGCUGAAUGGUUUAGGUUUCCUUGGGGAUUAAAAUUGCACAAGAAAACACCGAUGGCAUUAUGUUUUUCUUAAUCUUAAA